rnacentral:lncRNA from 1 species
AUGUGUGUGGUUGUGGUGUGUGUGUGGUUGUAUGUGUGUGGUUGUGUGGUUGUGUGUGUGGUUGUGUGUGUGUGUGCAUGUGUGUGUGGUUGUUGUGUGUGUGUGGUUGUGUGUGGUGUGUGUGUGUGUGCAUGUGUGUGUGCAUGUGUGUGUGGUUGUGUGUGUGCGUGUGUGUGGUGUGUGGUUGUGUGGGUGGUUGUGGGUGGGUGUGGUUGUGUGUGUGUGUGUGGUUGUGUGCGUGUGGUUGUGUGUGGUGUGUGUGUGUGUGUGUGUGGUUGUGUGAGUGUGGUUGUGUGUGUGUGUGGUGUGGUGUGUGUGUGUGUGGUUGUGUGGGUGGUUGUGUGUGUGUGUGUGUGUUGUGGUUGUGUGUGUGUUGUGUGUGUGUUGUGUGUGUGGUGGUUGUGUGUGGUGUGUGUGUGCAUGUGUGUGUGGUUGUGUGUGGUGUGGUUGUGUGUGUGUGGUUUGUGUGUGUGGUGGUUGUGUGUGUGUGUUGUGUGUGUGCAUGUGUGUGUGUGGUUGUGUGUGUUGUGUGUGGUUGUGUGUGUGGUGUGUGUGUGUGUGCAUGUGUGUGUGUGGUUGUGUGUGCGUGUGUGUGCGUGUGUGUGUGGUUGGUGUGUGUGUGCGUGUGUGUGUGCGUGUGUGUGUGGUUGUGUGUGUGCGGGUGUGUGUGUGUUGUGUGUGUGUGCAUGUGGUUAUGUGUGUGUGUGUGCAUGUGUGUGUGGUUGUGUGUGGUGUGGUUGUGUGUGUGUGUGCGUGUGUGUGGUUGUGUGUGUGUGGUUGUGUGUGUGCGUGUGUGUGUGUGCAUGUGUGUGUGCAUGUGUGUGUGGUUGUGUGUGUGGUUGUGUGUGUGUGUGUGGUGGUUGUGUGUGUGUGUGUGCGGGUGUGUGUGUGGUUGUGUGUGUGUGGUGUGUGUGUGGUGUGUGUGUGUGUGUUGUGGUUGUGUGUGUGUGGUUGUGUGUGUGUGGUUGUAUUGGUUGUGUGUGUGUGUGUGUGUGGUUGUGUGGUGUGUGUGUGCGUGUGUGUGUGUGCAGUUGUGUGUGUGGUGUGUGUGUGCGUGUGUGUGGUGGUUGUGUGUGUGUGGUUGUGUGUGUGCGUGUGUGUGUGGUGUGUGGUUGUGGUGUGUGUGUGUGCGUGUGUGUGUGCGUGUGUGUGGUUGUGUGUGUGUGUGUGGGUGUGUGUGUGGUUGUGGUGUGUGUGGUUGUUGUGUGUGUGGUUUGUGUGUGUUGUGUGUGUGUGCAUGUGUGUGUGGUUGUAUGUGUGUGGUUGUGUUGUGUGUGUGUGUUGUUGUGUGUGUGUGUGUGCAUGUGGUUAUGUGUGUGGUUGUGUGUGUGUGCAUGUGUGUGUGGUUGUGUGUGCGUGUGCGUGUGUGUGUGGUUUUGUGUGUGUGUGGUGUAUGUGCGUGUGUGUGUGCGUGUGUGUGUGCAGGCGUGUGUGUGUGGUUGUGUGUGCGUGUGUGUGCGUGUGUGUGUGGUUGUGUGUGUGUGUGCAUGUGUGUGUGUGUGUGUGUGCGGGUGUGUGGUCGUGCGUGUGUGUGUGGUUGUUGAUCAGCCUGUAGGAGAGUGUUGCCCACGUCCGGUUCCCCAUCCUCCCUGA